rnacentral:rRNA from 1 species
GACGAACGCUGGCGGCGUGCCUAAUACAUGCAAGUAGAACGCUGAAGGAAGGAGCUUGCUCUUUCUGGCUGAGUUGCGAACGGGUGAGUAACGCGUAGGUAACCUGCCUGGUAGCGGGGGAUAACUAUUGGAAACGAUAGCUAAUACCGCAUAAAAUUGAUUAUUGCAUGAUAGUCAAUUAAAAGGUGCAACUGCACCACUACCAGAUGGACCUGCGUUGUAUUAGCUAGUUGGUGGGGUAACGGCUCACCAAGGCGACGAUACAUAGCCGACCUGAGAGGGUGAUCGGCCACACUGGGACUGAGACACGGCCCAGACUCCUACGGGAGGCAGCAGUAGGGAAUCUUCGGCAAUGGACGGAAGUCUGACCGAGCAACGCCGCGGGAGUGAAGAAGGGUUUCGGAUCGUAAAGCUCUGUUGUAAGAGAAGAACGAGUGUGAGAGUGGAAAGUUCACACUGUGACGGUAUCUUGCCAGAAAGGGACGGCUAACUACGUG